rnacentral:tRNA from 1 species
GCCAGGGUGGCUCAGUCGGUUAAGCGGCUGACUUUGGCUCAGGUCAUGAUCUCGCGGUCCGUGGGUUCAAGCCCCGCAUCGGGCU